UACGUAGGGGGCAAGCGUUGUCCGGAAUUAUUGGGCGUAAAGCGCGCGCAGGCGGUUCUUUAAGUCUUGUGUUUAAUUCUGGGGCUCAACCCCGGAUCGCAUGGGAAACUGGGGAACUGGAGUGCAGGAGAGGAAAGUGGAAUUCCACGUGUAGCGGUGAAAUGCGUAGAGAUGUGGAGGAACACCAGUGGCGAAGGCGACUUUCUGGCCUGUAACUGACGCUGAGGCGCGAAAGCGUGGGGAGCAAACAGGAUUAGAAACCCGCGUAGUCC
rnacentral:rRNA from 1 species